rnacentral:rRNA from 1 species
GUCUACAGCGAUGCCACCCUGAACACACCCGAUCUCAUCUGAUCUCAGAAGCUAAGCAGGGUCGGGUCUGGUUAGUCCUUGGAUGGGAGACCACCUAGGAAUGCCAGGUGCUGUAAGCA